rnacentral:rRNA from 1 species
GUUGUUGGGUAGGGGAGCGUUCUGUAAGCCGUUGAAGGUGUGCUGUGAGGCAUGCUGGAGGUAUCAGAAGUGCGAAUGCUGACAUAAGUAACGAUAAAGCGGGUGAAAAGCCCGCUCGCCGGAAGACCAAGGGUUCCUGUCCAACGUUAAUCGGGGCAGGGUGAGUCGACCCCUAAGGCGAGGCCGAAAGGCGUAGUCGAUGGGAAACAGGUUAAUAUUCCUGUACUUGGUGUUACUGCGAAGGGGGGACGGAGAAGGCUAUGUCAGCCGGGCGACGGUUGUCCCGGUUUAAGCAUGUAGGCGGAGGUUCCAGGUAAAUCCGGUACCUUUUAACGCUGAGGUGUGAUGACGAGGCACUACGGUGCUGAAGUGAUAAAUGCCCUGCUUCCAGGAAAAGCCUCUAAGCAUCAGGUAACACGAAAUCGUACCCCAAACCGACACAGGUGGUCAGGUAGAGAAUACCAAGGCGCUUGAGAGAACUCGGGUGAAGGAACUAGGCAAAAUGGUGCCGUAACUUCGGGAGAAGGCACGCUGAUA